rnacentral:rRNA from 1 species
GCUAUUGGGGUCCGAUUUAGCCAUGCUAGUUGCACGAGUUUAGACUCGUGGCGAAAAGCUCAGUAACACGUGGUCAAACUACCCUACGAAGACCCAUAACCUCGGGAAACUGAGGCUAAUAGGUCAUAGGUGAGUUACGCUGGAAUGCCAACUCUCCCAAACGCUCAGGCGUCGUAGGAUGUGGCUGCGGCCGAUUAGGUAGACGGUGGGGUAACGGCCCACCGUGCCGAUAAUCGGUACGGGUUGUGAGAGCAAGAGCCCGGAGACGGAAUCUGAGACAAGAUUCCGGGCCCUACGGGGCGCAGCAGGCGCGAAACCUUUACACUGCACGCAAGUGCGAUAAGGGGACCCCAAGUGCGAGGGCAUAUAGUCCUCGCUUUUUCCGACCGUAAGGUGGUCGGCGAAUAAGGGCUGGGCAAGACCGGUGCCAGCCGCCGCGGUAAUACCGGCAGCCCAAGUGAUGACCGAUAUUAUUGGGCCUAAAGCGUCCGUAGCCGGCCAUGAAGGUUCAUCGGGAAAUCCGCCAGCUCAACUGGCGGG